rnacentral:rRNA from 1 species
GUCCACGCCGUAAACGAUGAAUGCUAGCCGUUGGACAGCUUGCUGUUCAGUGGCGCAGCUAACGCUUUAAGCAUUCCGCCUGGGGAGUACGGUCGCAAGAUUAAAACUCAAAGGAAUUGACGGGGGCCCGCACAAGCGGUGUAGCAUGUGGUUUAAUUCGAAGCAACGCGCAGAACCUUACCAGCUCUUGACAUGUCCCGUAUGGGUUUCAGAGAUGAGACCCUUCAGUUCGGCUGGCGGGAACACAGGUGCUGCAUGGCUGUCGU